ensembl:lncRNA
UUUUGCUGGAGAUCCCUUCACACCUGAGGUUUUCUGAAGAGGAAGGCUUCGCUUUCAGGCAGCCAAGCAGAAAAACUCCAGGAGACAGUGCGCAAUUAACAAGUCUCUGGGGGCUGGCAGUGAGUUCUGCAAGGCUGAAAGCAAACUUGGUGUAACUGUUGGCACUCAAUCCACACGGGAAUAGUAAGUUCAUUUUUGUGUGCUUCCUGAUGCUUGCUCUGUGGCUGUGAGCUGAUAGAAGGCAACGCUUCAACUUCCUGAACUCUCCAAAUAAAGCAUCCAUUCUGGAUAGAAGUUUGCGAAGAAAGAAACACUGUACUUUCUGCCUCGGUUGAGCUUUCAUAUUUGGCCCUCUGAAUGAACAACUUUGGUUGUUAAACCAUUGAAAACUUAUUUCAAAAGGCUUGAAUGUAUCACAAGUAAAAUUAUCUUCAAUUGAAUGGCUUGGAGCAGCUCUGAGAAAUUUAUUUACAUAGCUGUUGUACUGUGCCACAGUUUGAAGAGCAUUCAGGCUUCCUCUUUAAUCUAAACUCUUUUUACUUAAAUAACUCACAAGUAACUUUAGUUUUCAUUAUUUCUGAGUUUCAUUCAAGAGAUUAUUAUGGCAAACCAGCAAUUAUUUAAAUUCUUGAAUUAACACAUAUAUUAGCUCUUACAGAGUGAGCUGUAUGAAAUGGCAAGCGAGCCUUGUUCCUGCAUAUAUGUCAUCGUGUGAGCGUGUGCAUAUGGAUAGUGACCAUGCAGAGCUCAUUCCUGUGCCCACGCGAAAACCUCACAGAGGUGACAUAUGUGAGAGAUGCUUGCUUUCAGGACCACUUCUCAUGUCAGGAAAAAUGUGUUUGCCUCCAGUGGAAAGGCUUUUGUAAAACUAGGUGCUAGGAAUUUAUAACAGGCUGAAUAAAGUGGGUAGAGCAGCAAUGAGUACUCUGUGUUCCGUUUUUCACAAUCUUGGUCAUAUACAGUUAAUUUACAUGAUUCACGAGACUCCUCUUGUUACCAAAUCACACUUCUUUGUCAGGCCUUUUUCCCCCCUGCAGGGUAUUUUUAAUUUUCACUGGAUGCUUGAUAUUCAUGGCACCAACACCAAUGCAUUGUUUCAAACAAUGGCAUAAAGAGUUAAUGCCUACGAUGGGGAAAAAAGGCAAAAAGAGUGCCCACAGCUAGCUAACUAUCAAGAAAUCAUCUAGUACUUGGCGUUUGCUAUAGGCAAAGUAAAACAAAGCACUAGCAGCAAUAAAUCAAUUCUUGCGUGCGGGUGUUGUCAACAUGGGCUGUUCUGGCUCUCUCUGAUCAGUUCUUAGGCCAAUAAUGCUCUUUUAUACUUCCAAAUGUUUUGAAAUGCCUCUGUGCUCAAGGAAGAUCUAAGCUGUCUCAGAUACAACCAUUCACAAGGUAAUGGGGUGUCUCCAGUUUGUGUGAGAAACUUCAUCAGGUGCCUUGAAAGCUAAGCAUUCCUCAAGUAUGCUGUAAUUAUACGUUGCUUGUGAUUAGGGUGUAAAAAGUACUCCAGCUACUGCUGGGCUCUAAGAUCAGAGCUGGAUUUUAAACACUGAAAUGUCUGCAAUGGGCUGAUCUUUGUUCUUUUUGUUUUCUUUACAUUAGAAAAAUGAGAAACAAAAUCAAGGCUUUGGAUCCAAAGAUACUGGGUUUUGGCCUAAUUCCACCUAUAGCUAUUGUACUGAAACAGUUCAAGGCAUUCCUCUCUU